rnacentral:lncRNA from 1 species
GUGACUCCUUCGAGCCUUCCAGAAAGCAUGUGAGAAGGAAGCCCUACUCUACUACCAAGGUGACUUCAGGGAGCACAUUCAAGGCCAGUGAAGGGAUCACUAUUCACCAUGCAGUGGAGUUCCAGCACCCUCUAUGCCUGGAAUUACCCAAGCCUGCAGACACCCCAAACGCCAUCCCUCACAUAAGAGAGCCUCAGUGAUCUCAUAAUCCAGAGGUUUUAAGAAGAUACGCCGUGUACACCAUCCAGCAUCGGAGGCAUCAUGACUCCUGGGUAAAGAAGAAGAUGUACCCACAAGAAGAUGACUUCCAUCAUACAGUUUUCAGCAACCUUGAAAGACUGGACAAGCUUCAGCCCACUCUUGAAGCCUCUGAGGAGUCUCUAGUUCACAAGGACAGAGGAGAUGGAGAGAGGCCGGUCAAUGCGAGGGUGGUGCAGGUGGCCCCUCUGAGGUGUGAAUCUA